rnacentral:rRNA from 1 species
GUGCCUGCGGAAGGAUCAUUAAAAUUUGAUAUACACUAUCUAACACGUACUGAUUAACAAAGCCUCGGCGGCUUGCCGCCAAGGAUUAAAUUAAACAAACUUACUUUGUCAAUAAACUAAUAAUCAAAACUUUCAACAACGGAUCUCUUGGUUCUCGCAUCGAUGAAGAACGCAGCGAAAUGCGAUAAGUAAUAUGAAUUGCAGACUUUGUGAAUCAUCGAAUUUUUGAACGCACAUUGCGCCUUGUGGUAUUCCACAAGGCAUGCCUGUUUGAGCGUCAUCCACCCUCAAACCCCCGGGUUUGGCAGUGAGUGCACGGACGUCUACUCGAAAUUUAUGGAAUUUUGUGUCUAGGAUUACCCAUCAUGGAAUUCCCACCAUAAAUUUUGACCUCAAAUCAGGUAGGAUUACCCGCUGAACUUAAGCAUAUCAAAAGA